AGAGUUUGAUCCUGGCUCAGAUUGAACGCUGGCGGCAUGCUUUACACAUGCAAGUCGAACGGCAGCGGGGGCUUCGGCCCGCCGGCGAGUGGCGAACGGGUGAGUAAUGCAUCGGAACGUGCCCAGUCAUGGGGGAUAACUACGCGAAAGCGUAGCUAAUACCGCAUACGCCCUGAGGGGGAAAGCGGGGGAUCGCAAGACCUCGCGUGAUUGGAGCGGCCGAUGUCGGAUUAGCUAGUUGGUGGGAUAAAGGCCUACCAAGGCGACGAUCCGUAGCGGGUCUGAGAGGAUGAUCCGCCACACUGGGACUGAGACACGGCCCAGACUCCUACGGGAGGCAGCAGUGGGGAAUUUUGGACAAUGGGGGCAACCCUGAUCCAGCCAUGCCGCGUGAGUGAAGAAGGCCUUCGGGUUGUAAAGCUCUUUCAGACGGAAAGAAAUCG
rnacentral:rRNA from 1 species